GCAUACCUUGAGGAUUUUUACAAGUUCUGUCAGAAACUUGAUGGGGCAACAUCAGAGAUUAUGUCUGACCUUCUAGCCUUUGAAGCUGAUAGAAGAGCUGUGAACAUCACCAUCAAUAGCAUUGGCACUGAGCUUACAAGAGAAGACAGGAAGAAACUGUAC